ensembl:lncRNA
CAAUAACUAAUUAGACUUACGGCAGAGAUUAUACUGCUUUUGUAAUUGAACACAUGCUUCGCUCUGCUACUGAAUCAAAUCUUCCUUUUUCUUUUUCUCUCAGGAACACAGGGACACUUCACUGGAAGCUGUAUGGAGAGGAAAAUAUAAAUUCCAGGUACUUGUCCAGAAGAGAAGAACUACGUUCCUCCAGAAGACUGUUUGAGUACUGUUAUCAUUCCUGCUCAGGGGAACAGAUAUAAGGCCUGUAGGUCACCUGACCUAGGUCCUCUGCCUUCUUCUUGUCUCGUCGUACUCGCUUUCAGAUCAUCUUGCUGCUGCUCCCGACUGCACACAAGGCUUCAAUAUUAGUGAUGCCACUGAGAGAGACUUAGACAGGCUUGAACAGUGGGCCCGAGAGAACAUCACGAGAUCCAGCAAAGCCAAGUGAAAGAUCUUGGACCUCAGUUGCAGCAACCUCCACUAUCAAUACAAGCUGGGAGAUAAAAGGAUUGAGCGCAGCCUUGCAGAAAAGGACUUGGAGGUACUGGUGGACAACAAGCAGGACAUGAGCCAGCAAAGUGCUCUUGCAGACCAGAAGGCCAACCACAUCCUGAGCUGCAUCAAAAGAAACAUGGCCAACGGGGCUAGGGAGGUGAUCCUCCCCCUCUAGUCUGUGCUGGUGAGACCUCACCUGGAGUACUGUAUGUAAAUGUGGAGUCCUCAGUACAGGAGAGACAUGGACUUGGAGCAUGUCCAGAGGAGGGCCACUAAAAUGAUCCAAGGGAUGGAACAUCUCUCCUAAGAGGACAGAUUGAGAGAGCUGGGGCUGUCCAACCUGGAGAAGAGAAGGCUCUGGGAAGAUCUGAUAGUAGCCUUUCAGUAACAAAAGAGGGGCUAUAAGAAAGAAGAAGACAGACUUCAGCAGGAUAUGUCAGGCCAGACAGGGCAUAGUGCAAGCUGAUCUAGCUGUGGAUGUCCCUGUUCAUUGCAGGGCAGUUGGACUAGGUGACCUUUAAAGAUCCCUUUCAUCUCAAACAGUUCUAUGAUUCUGUGGUUCUAUGAAUAUUCUGUAGCUCCCAGACUACCCAGAUCUUCAGUACAUUAGCAUUCAUGUACCAAAGCGUGUAAUACGGACAAGGGCAGAUGUCUUCUUCAGCAAUUUCAAGUUGGAUAUCUGCACAAAUGGUGAGGCAACUUUUCUUCUCCUCUGAUGCAGCCCAGAAUAUGAAUCCACUUCAGAUGUAUUUGAUUAUUUACAAGUUAGGUAAUGAGUUCGUUUUUCAUGUCUUUUCCUAAUAGAACUUGGCUUUUCACAGAUUGAUUUCAGUUUCUGCAGCUGGAAAAAAAAUUUUGAAAAGUUUUUCCAUCAAGAAAUGUAAUUGUAUUAAGUCAUGAAGUCAUUUAUAUUACACUGAAAUUUCAAUUUGGAGAUAAAAGGAAAG